UCAAUAAAUCAAUUACUGCCAAAAUUACUCUUUCUAUAUAUUUAAAUAUCUUUCUAUUUCUCUUUCUUUUCUUUUAAUAAGUUUUAUUAUUCGGUCUUUAUAUUACAAUACGUUAUCAGCACGAGAUUCUUAUUCAAUUUCACUGUGUCAAAUUUAUCGAAACUUGAGUUUGUGGCACUGGACAUUACCGGAAAGAAUUAUUUAUCAUGGGUCGUUGAUGUUGAAAUUCACCUUGAUGCUAGAGGUCUUGGGGAUACUAUUAAACAAGAAAAUAACGCAUCUAAUCAAGAUAAGGCGAAAGUUAUGAUUUUUCUUCAUCAUCACCUCCACGAAGGAUUAAAAACUGAAUAUUUAACUGUGAAAGAUCCACUCGAAUUAUGGACCAACUUGAAGGACCGAUAUCACUAUCUAAAAUUGACAGUAUUAACGAAAGCUAAUUAUGACUAGAUACAUCUUCGGUUUCAAGAUUUUAAAACUGUAGUUAAAUAUAAUUCUGCUAUUCAUAAAGUAAGUUCAAUAUUAAGAUUAUGUGGAGAAACCAUCAUUGAUGAGGACUUACUAGAGAAAACUUUUUCCACUUUUCAUACUUCUAAUGUAUUGCUACAACAGCAAUAUCGUGAAAAGAGAUUUAAAAAAAAUAUUCUGAAUUGAUUACAUGCAUACUUGUGGCAGAACAAAAUAAUACUUUGUUAAUGAAAAAUCAUGAAGCUCGUCCUACUGGAUCUGCUCCAUUCCCAGAAGCGAAUAUUGUAGCAGUGCAUAAUCAGCCUGAAAUAAGGCAAAAUUAUUAUCGCGGUCGUGGUCAAGGCAAUGAUCGUGGACGUGGCAGAGGGAGAAAUAAUUAUCGUCUUAAUAGUGGAAAUAAACAAGAUAAUAAUAAAGGUUCUCAAUAUAAUCCUUCAAAGGGUAUAAUUAAUAUUUGUCACCGAUGUGGUAUGAAAGGCAUUGGACACGUGCUUGUCGUACGCCUGAUCAUUUUGUCAAACUUUAUUAAGCUUCCCUUAAAAGGAAAGAAAAUGAUGUGGAAGCACACUUGACCUUUCAAGGUAAUGAUGAUGAAGCAACCCAUCAAAUAACGAUAUUGAGGCAAAUCUUGUUUACAAAGAUGAUGACUUUAAGGGCCUCUCAGAUAUUACUCAUUUGAGAGCUAAAGAUUUUUAUGAGGAUAUUGAUUGAAGAACUGAUCAUCCUGUUGAAAAAAAUUAUAAAGAAAGUUAUUAUUUUCUUUUGUUUGCAAUUUGUUUUUCUGUUUAAUUAAUGUACUAUGUAUUUCUAACUUCUAUAUUUCUAAUGCAAUUUCGUA